rnacentral:rRNA from 1 species
CAGUAGCCGCGGUAAUACGAAGGGUGCAAGCGUUACUCGGAAUUACUGGGCGUAAAGCGUGCGUAGGUGGUGGUUUAAGUCCGUUGUGAAAGCCCUGGGCUCAACCUGGGAAUUGCAGUGGAUACUGGAUCACUAGAGUGUGGUAGAGGAUAGUGGAAUUUCCGGUGUAGCAGUGAAAUGCGUAGAGAUCGGAAGGAACAUCUGUGGCGAAGGCGGCCAUCUGGGACAACACUGACGCUGAGGCACGAAAGCGUGGGGAGCAAACAGGAUUAGAUACCCCUGUAGUCCCUGUCUCUUAUAC